UACGUAGGGUGCAAGCGUUAAUCGGAAUUACUGGGCGUAAAGCGUGCGCAGGCGGCUAUGCAAGACAGAUGUGAAAUCCCCGGGCUCAACCUGGGAACUGCAUUGUGACUGCAUGCUAGAGUACGGCAGAGGGGGAUGGAAUUCCGCGUGUAGCAGUGAAAUGCGUAGAUAUGCGGAGGAACACCGAUGGCGAAGGCAAUCCCCUGGGCCUGCACUGACGCUCAUGCAC
rnacentral:rRNA from 1 species